GCCGGCGACCGGCGCACGGGUGAGUAACGCGUAUCCAACCUUCCGUACACUCAGGGAUAGCCUUUCGAAAGAAAGAUUAAUACCUGAUGGUAUGAUGAGAUUGCAUGAUAGCAUCAUUAAAGAUUUAUCGGUGUACGAUGGGGGUACGUUCCAUUAGGUAGUAGGCGGGGUAACGGCCCACCUAGCCAACGAUGGAUAGGGGUUCUGAGAGGAAGGUCCCCCACAUUGGAACUGAGACACGGUCCAAACUCCUACGGGAGGCAGCAGUGAGGAAUAUUGGUCAAUGGACGAGAGUCUGAACCAGCCAAGUAGCGUGAAGGAUGAAGGUCCUACGGAUUGUAAACUUCUUUUAUAAGGGAAUAAACCCUCCCACGUGUGGGAGCUUGUAUGUACCUUAUGAAUAAGCAUCGGCUAACUCCGUGCCAGCAGCCGCGGUAAUACGGAGGAUGCGAGCGUUAUCCGGAUUUAUUGGGUUUAAAGGGAGCGCAGACGGGUCGUUAAGUCAGCUGUGAAAGUUUGGGGCUCAACCUUAAAAUUGCAGUUGAUACUGGCGUCCUUGAGUGCGGUUGAGGUGUGCGGAAUUCGUGGUGUAGCGGUGAAAUGCUUAGAUAUCACGAAGAACUCCGAUUGCGAAGGCA
rnacentral:rRNA from 1 species